rnacentral:rRNA from 1 species
UAGUGAGGCCUCCGGACUGGCCCAGGGAGGUCGGCAACGACCACCCAGGGCCGGGAAGUUCGUCAAACUUGGUCAUUUAGAGGAAGUAAAAGUCGUAACAAGGUUUCCGUAGGUGAACCUGCGGAAGGAUCAUUAUUGAAUAUUCUUGAUGGGUUGUAGCUGGCUCUUCGGGGCAUGUGCACGCCUGUCUUGACUUUAUUCACCCACCUGUGCACCUUUUGUAGUCUUGGGGGCUGAGAGCAGUCAACUUGUCGGACGGCCCAUAUGGUCUUUCCGGAUAUGAGGAAUGCUGAGCGUGAAACGCGUACAGCUCUUCUCAAAGGACUUGCCAAACCUCAAGUACUAUGUAUUCAUAUACCACAUUGCAUGUUGUAGAAUGUGAUCAAUGGGCCUAUGUGCCUAUAAAAAGUUAUAUACAACUUUCAGCAACGGAUCUCUUGGCUCUCGCAUCGAUGAAGAACGCAGCGAAAUGCGAUAAGUAAUGUGAAUUGCAGAAUUCAGUGAAUCAUCGAAUCUUUGAACGCACCUUGCGCUCCUUGGUAUUCCGAGGAGCAUGCCUGUUUGAGUGUCAUUAAAUUCUCAACCCCUUCAGCUUUUGCAAGUUGUAAUGGGGCUUGGAUGUUGGGGGUUUGCGGGCCUUUAUUAUAAUAGAGGUCGGCUCUCCUGAAAUGCAUUAGCGGAACCGUUUGCAGUUCUAUCAUUAGUGUGAUAAUUAUCUACACUGUGAUGAUUGCUCUCUGACUAGUUCAGCUGCUAAUCGUCCACUUGUUGGACAAUACAUAUAAUGAACCUCUUGACCUCAAAUCAGGUAGGACUACCCGCUGAACUUAAGCAUAUCAAUAAGCGGAGGAAAAGAAGCUAACAAGGAUUCCCCUAGUAACUGCGAGUGAAGCGGGAAAAGCUCAAAUUUAAAAUCUGGCGGUCUUUGGCCGUCCGAGUUGUAAUCUAGAGAAGUGUUGCCCGCGCUGGACCGUGUACAAGUCUCCUGGAAU